CAAGUAAAGGCCCUGGGGAGAUAGCGCAGCUAAGCGGACAAGGGCACAUGUAGGAGUGUGGGGAUAGAUGCAGUGGAGUGGUUUAGGAAGUAUGUGUAGGUGGGAUUAAGUUUCUAUGUAGUUAGUGGGGGGAGUGGUCUUACCUCAGUGCCACUUGCGAACCGCGCCAGCAGACAGCUUCCCGUCCGCCCCCUUUUUUUUUUUGGUAGUUAGUCGCAGCUUGCCAGGGGUAUGUCCUUGCUAAUUAAGUUUGUGGGGUUAUGUUUUAUGGUUGGAGUGAGUUAAUAAGUUGGCAAGUCUCAACCUCCCCUGCUUCAAACGGUUAACUUUAGGUUGCCUGAGGUAUCGUGCCCAUUGAGCGUGGAUAAGGUCGGCUGAUGGCGGGCAUUGGAAUGGUAUGAUUUAUGACGAGGGGGGAGGUGAGAGGAAGUGGUGAUUAGGAACCACGGUAUGUUUAUUGGCAAGGACGGGUGGGUUACUGUAUAACACUGUGUGUUAUAUAUGUUAAUUUAUGCUUAUUUAUGUUUAACAAUUUUGGUUACAGAAAGAAGAUUUUGAAUAAAGUUAUGGAUGUGUCAUGCAGUAUUUAUUCAUGUUAUAAUAAAUGCUGUGGCCUGUUUCAUCCAUACGAAGUUGUCUGUCGUUAUUGGGAGGGUUUAAUGUGGUUAAUUUAUGUAUUAGGUAGCACCGGAAAAUUCCCCACUACGUACAUACAA